AGGAGGAAGAAGAAGAAGAAAAAGAAAAAGAGAAAAAAAAUUGCCCCGCCUGGGCUUCGUUUUUUUUUUCGGCGGAAAAAAAAAGAACGAGAGAACAAAGAGGAGAGAGAAAGAGGAAAGAGAAAAAGUAAUAAGGGUAUUUUGGUCAGUUUGCUGAAAAAGCGGACCGAAUCUGCAAAAAUGAAAAAGGUGGCCCGAUUUUGCAAAAAUCCAAAAUAAGUGGAUUUUUUAUGCAAAUUGGCCAUAUAGUUAUCUAUGGUGGCACUAAAAUCAAUUACUAUCGAUUGAUUAAUUUAAAGUGACUUUACUACUUUUCCCUCUAAAUGACUAUUUUGUCCCCAUUAUAUAAUUACCUACGGUGGCGAUAAAAAAAAUUGCCACCAAUUAAUUAGAUUAAAGUGCCAAUACUAUUUUCACCAUUAAUUAAAUAACUAUUUUUCGCCACUAUAUAUUUAUUUAUGGUGGCGAUAAAAAAAAUCGCCACCGAUUAAUUAAUUUAAAGUAACAAUAUUACUUUUGCCACUAAAUUAUUAGUUGGUCACCACUAUAAAGUUACAUAUAGUGGUGAUAAAAAAAUUAUCACUUAUUAAUUAACUUAAAAUAUCAUUAUUAUUUUCGUCACUAA
rnacentral:lncRNA from 1 species